rnacentral:rRNA from 1 species
GACGAACGCUGGCGGCGUGCCUAAUACAUGCAAGUAGAACGCAGUUGCGAACGGGUGAGUAACGCGUAGGUAACUGCCUCAUAGCGGGGGAUAACUAUUGGAAACGAUAGCUAAUACCGCAUACUGUGAGAUGGACCUGCGUUGUUUUAGCUUGUUGGUGAGGUAAAGGCUCACCAAGGCGACGAUACAUAGCCGGCCUGAGAGGGUGGACGGGCAAACUGGGAAUGGGGAACGGGCCAAGCUCCUACGGGAAGGAGCAGGAGGGGAUCAUCGGCAAUGGACGGAAAGCUGACCGAACAACGCCGCGGGAGUGAAGAAGGUUUUCGGAGCGGAAAGCUCUGUUGUUAGAGGAGCGGUAACUAACCAGAAAGGGACGGCUAACUACGUGCCAGCCGCCGCGGUAAUUC